GACGAACGCUGGCGGCGUGCUUAACACAUGCAAGUCGAACGGAAAGGCCCUGCUUGCAGGGUACUCGAGUGGCGAACGGGUGAGUAACACGUGGGUGAUCUGCCCUGCACUUCGGGAUAAGCCUGGGAAACUGGGUCUAAUACCGGAUAGGAGCCAUUUUUAGUGUGAUGGUUGGAAAGUUUUUUCGGUGUUGGAUGAGCCCGCGUCCUAUCAGCUUGUUGGUGGGGUAAUGGCCUACCAAGGCGGCGACGGGUAGCCGGCCUGAGAGGGUGGACGGCCACACUGGGACUGAGACACGGCGCAGACUCCUACGGGAGGCAGCGGUGGGGAAUAUUGGACGAGGGGCGAGAGCCUGAUCCAGCAGGGCCGCGUGAGUGAUGAAGGCCUUAGGGUUGUAAAGCUCUUUUACCCGGGAUGAUAAUGACAGUACCGGGAGAAUAAGCGCCGGCUAACUCCGUG
rnacentral:rRNA from 1 species